AUUGAACGCUGGCGGCAUGCCUUACACAUGCAAGUCGAACGGUAACAGGUCUUCGGAUGCUGACGAGUGGCGAACGGGUGAGUAAUACAUCGGAACGUGCCUAGUAGUGGGGGAUAACUACUCGAAAGAGUGGCUAAUACCGCAUGAGAUCUACGGAUGAAAGCAGGGGAUCGCAAGACCUUGUGCUACUAGAGCGGCCGAUGGCAGAUUAGGUAGUUGGUGGGAUAAAGGCUUACCAAGCCGACGAGCUGUAGCUGGGCUUAGAGGACGAUCAGACAGACUGGGACUGAGACACGGACCAGACUCCUACGGGAGGCAGCAGUGGGGAAUUUUGGACAAUGGGCGAAAGCCUGAUCCAGCAAUGCCGCGUGCAGGAUGAAGGCCUUCGGGUUGUAAACUGCUUUUGUACGGAACGAAAAGCCCCGGGUUAAUACCCUGGGGUCAUGACGGUACCGUAAGAAUAAGCACCGGCUAACUACGUGCCAGCCGCCGCGGUAA
rnacentral:rRNA from 1 species